rnacentral:rRNA from 1 species
UACGUAGGUGGCAAGCGUUGUCCGGAUUUACUGGGCGUAAAGAGCGCGCAGGCGGUCGUAUAAGUCGAAUGUGAAAGCCCCCGGCUCAACUGGGGAGGGUCACGCGAUACUGAUCGACUCGAAGGCAGGAGAGGGUAGUGGAAUUCCCGGUGUAGUGGUGAAAUGCGUAGAUAUCGGGAGGAACACCAGUGGCGAAGGCGACUACCUGGCCUGUUCUUGACGCUGAGGCGCGAAAGCUAGGGGAGCAAACGGG